ACCUUCCUUGCAUACCUAAGACAAAUCCCACUUGCUCAUGAUUAAUGAUCAUUUCAAUGUUUUGUUGACUUUGGUUUGCUAAUAUUUUGUUGAGGAUUUUCCCAUCAAUGUUCACCAGGAAUAUUUUUCUGAAGUUUUCUUUUUAUUGAUGUGUCUUAGUCUAUUUUGGUAUCAGG